UACAGAGGUCCCAAGCGUUGUUCGGAUUCACUGGGCGUAAAGGGUGCGUAGGCGGUCGGGUAAGUCUGACGUGAAAUCUCCAAGCUCAACUUGGAAAUGGCGUCGGAUACUAUUCGGCUCGAGGAGUGGAGGGGAGACUGGAAUUCUCGGUGUAGCAGUGAAAUGCGUAGAUAUCGGGAGGAACACCAGUGGCGAAGGCGACUUCCUGGCCUGUUCUUGACGCUGAGGCGCGAAAGCUAGGGGAGCAAACGGG
rnacentral:rRNA from 1 species